GCUGCUGUGGCUCAGUCGGUAGAGCACGUCCUUGGUAAGGACGAGGUCGGCGGUUCAAGUCCGCUCAGCAGCUCCA
rnacentral:tRNA from 1 species